CUGCAUCGCCCUGCGUCGCUACUUCGUCGUGUUUCGCCAUGAAUGCGUCGCUAGGUGCAUGCCCGUGCCAUGCCCAACCACUGCCCUCCAUUAAUGCUUGAUCGGGAGCUCGCCCGUGAGCUCGAGAAGCCUCCCCGCGGCUAUAUAAGCGUGCCCCGAGCCCUCCCGCAGCUCAUCCAUCCCUCCCUCGCCUCAUUUGCCCUCUGGAAUCGCCAAAUCUCGCUGUUCUUUGCCGUGCUCGUCUCGGCCAUCGCCGGAGUUCGCUCCUCCCCGGUGUGCCUAGCCCUCCCCUCGCCAUUCCAACUUGUCCCCCGCUUUCCCCUCACGCCCGUAGCUCACCCCAACCACUUUACCAUCGCCGGAGAGCACCGUGGUCGUGUUCCUCGAGCUCGGCCGCCGCCUCCACCGUUUGGCCUCCACCCUGUCCGGCCGGUCCAAGCCCUCCCACUCCCUCCGGACUCCACCACUGCCUCCCCCACGUCCCGGGGAACCACCCCACGCCCUCAUACCUCGCUGGAGUGCCCUGGUCUCCGGCAACCACCUCCACCCGCGUCUCUCUGUGCUCCUCGGGUCGCCGCCGUUCGCCGUCUCCCCGCGCCUCCCCAGCGCCUCCUAGCCGUGGGAACGGGUGCGCGAGUCCCCUGCGACCCCGCCGGUGUGCUCGUACGGGCCGGAGCUGGCCUGAGCCGGCCGCCACGUCGCCGGCAGCGCGGCCCCUCCCCUGCUUCUUCUGUCCUGCACGGGGGAGCAGCGGGAGGAAGAAGACGAGCGUGGCUCGGCCCCUCCACUGCGCGCGGGACCCCCUCGUCAGCCACCCUGAAGCCGGCCCCGCCUCUGCCACGUUACCGGUCCAGAAGGCGUUUUCUCUGUUCUGAAAGCGAUUUUCAGAUUUUGCGCCUCUGCCUUAUCCACUCAGGGACCCGUUGGUGAUAAAUUUUUCACAGAUUAGUCCCUGCUCUUCCACCCUUCACAACUCCGCAACCGUAACUCCAAAUAAGCCCCUCAGAGAGAGAACUGUUUCCGGCAAAUCUUUCCGCGGCUUCACCGCACUUCUCCCCGGUGCCUUCUUCAUCCCCAGGCAAGCCACAAUACCCACUUGCAUGAUAGUCAUGCAGUAGCCAUGGUUUUCAACUUGAAUCUUUAUUAAAUGUUUGCUUGUUGAAAAGAUGGUUAUCGUUGCUCCGAUGAUGUUUAGAUUUGCAUGCUCACUUUUGUGCUAUGUUGUCUUGUACUCUGUUAUCAUGUUCUACCUGCUAGUAUUUCCUUUCAUAUAUUUAUGCUUGCUAGUAGUACAUGUU